rnacentral:rRNA from 1 species
AACGUAGGUGGCAAGCGUUAUCCGGAUUUACUGGGCGUAAAGGGUGUGCAGGCGGGAGAACAAGUGGUGUAUGAAAUCGCCCGGCUUAACCGGGCGGGGUUAUGCCAGACUGUUUUUCUAGAGGACGAGAGAGGGGCAUGGAAUUCCGGGUGUAGUGGUGAAAUGCGUAGAGAUCCGGAGGAACCCCAGAGGCGAAGGCGGUGCCCUGGCUCGUACCUGACGCUCAGACACGAAAGCAUGGGGAGCGAACGGG